UAGUCAUAUGCUUGUCUUAAAGAUUAAGCCAUGCAUGUCUAAGUAUAAGCAUUUAUACGGCGAAACUGCGAAUGGCUCAUUAAAUCAGUUAUAGUUCAUUUGAUAAUACCUACACUACUUGGAUAACCGUAGUAAUUCUAGAGCUAAUACAUGCGAAAAACCCCGACUUUUCGGAAGGGGUGCAUUUGUUAGAUACAAAACCAAUGCGGCGGGGCAACUCGUCGGAACCUUGGUGAUUCAUGACAACUUUGCGAAUCGCAUGGCCUUUGAGCCGGCG
rnacentral:rRNA from 1 species